AAUCCAUAGGUUAAUGAGGCGAACCGGGGGAACUGAAACAUCUAAGUACCCCGAGGAAAAGAAAUCAACCGAGAUUCCCCCAGUAGCGGCGAGCGAACGGGGAGGAGCCCAGAGCCUGAAUCAGCAUGUGUGUUAGUGGAAGCGUCUGGAAAGGCGCGCGAUACAGGGUGACAGCCCCGUACACAAAAGCGCAUGUGCUGUGAGCUCGAUGAGUAGGGCGGGACACGUGGUAUCCUGUCUGAAUAUGGGGGGACCAUCCUCCAAGGCUAAAUACUCCUGACUGACCGAUAGUGAACCAGUACCGUGAGGGAAAGGCGAAAAGAACCCCGGCGAGGGGAGUGAAAAAGAACCUGAAACCGUGUACGUACAAGCAGUGGGAGCACCCUUUGGGUGUGACUGCGUACCUUUUGUAUAAUGGGUCAGCGACUUAUAUUCUGUAGCAAGGUUAACCGAAUAGGGGAGCCGGAGGGAAACCGAGUCUUAACCGGGCGUUAAGUUGCAGGGUAUAGACCCGAAACCCGGUGAUCUAGCCAUGGGCAGGUUGAAGGUUGGGUAACACUAACUGGAGGACCGAACCGACUAAUGUUGAAAAAUUAGCGGAUGACCUGUGGCUGGGGGUGAAAGGCCAAUCAAACCGGGAGAUAGCUGGUUCUCCCCGAAAGCUAUUUAGGUAGCGCCUCGUGAAUUCAUCUCCGGGGGUAGAGCACUGUUUCGGCUAGGGGGCCAUCCCGGCUUACCAACCCGAUGCAAACUGCGAAUACCGGAGAAUGUUAUCACGGGAGACACACGGCGGGUGCUAACGUCCGUCGUGAAGAGGGAAACAACCCAGACCGCCAGCUAAGGUCCCAAAGUCA
rnacentral:rRNA from 1 species